rnacentral:rRNA from 1 species
GCUGAAAAUCUAGCUCUAAUUUACCAAAUGAAUUCGCACCCUUAAUUUCUCAAUUAAAGCAUUUUAACAAUUUAGUAAAGGCGAUUAAAAAAUUAAUUAAAGCUAUACUAUUAGUACCGCAAGGGAAAGAUGAAAUAGAAGUGAAACAAAUUUUAAGCACAAAACAGCAAAGAUUUAUCCUUGUACCUUUUGCAUCAUGGUUUAACUAGUCUAAUCAAGCAAAAAGACUUAAAGUUUGACCCCCCGAAACUAAGCGAGCUACUUUAGGGCAGCUUAAUGAGCAAACCCGUCUCUGUUGCAAAAGAGUGGGAAGACCCUUAAGUAGAAGUGACAGACCUACCGAGCUUAGUGAUAGCUGGUUGCUCAAGAAAAGAAUCUAAGUUCAACCUAAAAUUAAAUUACUAUCAACAAAAUACAACAUUAAUUUUAGAAUAAGUCAAAUAAGGUACAGCCUAUUUGAAACAGGAUACAACCUAAACCAACGGGUAAUCAAUAAUAUUAUAUCACAACCAAGUAGGCCUAAAAGCAGCCAUCUUUAAAAUAGCGUCACAGCUUUAUUAUGCUAACAUCUAAUCUCACCAUAUUUAUACAACCCUUCACCAACAUCGAGCAAUUCUAUAUCUUUAUAGAAAUUUUUAUGUUAAAACUAGUAACAAGAAGAUGAACUUCUCCUUAAUGCAAGUGUAAAUCAGUUAGGACCACCCGCUGAUAAUUAACACUAUUAAACCCACAGUAGUAACAAAACAAGAAAACUCUACUUUUUUAUACGUUAAUCUAACACAAGUGCAUUACAAGAAAGAUUUAAAGAAAAAGAAGGAACUCGGCAAAAAUCAACCUCGCCUGUUUACCAAAAACAUCGCCUNNNNNNNNNNNNNNNNNNNAGGUCCAGCCUGCCCAGUGACUCUGUUCAACGGCCGCGGUAUCCUAACCGUGCGAAGGUAGCGUAAUCACUUGUUCUUUAAAUGAGGACUAGUAUGAAUGGCACCACGAGGGUUAUACUGUCUCCUCUUUCUAAUCAGUGAAACUAAUCUCCCCGUGAAGAAGCGGGGAUUAACCUAUAAGACGAGAAGACCCUAUGGAGCUUUAAACUUAAAACAUUCGCCAAAACAAUCUUAACUCCAGAAGAAUAAACCCAUUCAGCAUUACUGAUUUUUAAGUUUUCGGUUGGGGUGACCACGGAGCAAAAUUUAACCUCCGCACUGAAAGGACCUUAAACCUUAGCCAAGAGCCACGACUCUAUGCAUCAAUAAUUUGACACCAAUUGACCCAAUAUAUUGAACAAUGAACCAAGUUACCCUAGGGAUAACAGCGCAAUCUACUUCAAGAGCCCCUAUCGACAAGUGGGUUUACGACCUCGAUGUUGGAUCAGGGUAUCCCAGUGGUGCAGCCGCUACUAAAGGUUCGUUUGUUCAACGAUUAAAACCCU